rfam:Nicotiana sylvestris Nsyl_contig190040, whole genome shotgun sequence.
AAAAAGGGUCGGUUGGCUAAAUAUGCCACUCUCGCCUGAAUGGUGAGUGCUGUAUGGCUAUCAAGACAUAUGGCCGACAUAAUUUCUGGGAUUUUCAUAGGGUUGUCUCGUUGGUCGACCCUCCA